UCUGCAGAGGGUAUGGACUUGACCCCAAAGGGGAGUGGAAAAAAUGAAGAUCUUUCCCUGAACUCUCAUCCUACUGCUGCAACUCAAAUCAAGCUUUCCCCGCUGCCCAGAGAGCUCAUUUUGUAGGUCACGGUGAGUAGAAGAUGAAAAUGGAUAGAGACUGCCCAAGAAAACUACAGAUAUUUGUGACAAAAUUAAGAAUAUUUCCAAUAACCCAAUCAACAAAUGGGCCAAGGACCUGAACAGACACUUCUCAGAGGAGGACAUACAAUCAAUCAACAAGUACAUGAAAAAAUGCUCACCAUCUCUAGCAGUCAGAGAAAUGCAAAUCAAAACCACCCUAAGAUACCAUCUCACUCCAGUAAGAUUGGCAGCCAUUAUGAAGUCAAACAACAACAAGUGCUGGUGA